UACAAUAUGUUUCUCGACGAUUGUAUGUCCCACUCGUUCUUAUUAUACCUCAGCAGUUACACUUUGUUGCCUAUGACUUGGGUGUAUUAUUUAGCCUUAAAAUACUUAGCUGUCAGGUGUGAAUGGGGGCUCGAAGGUAAAAGCACUGUCUUUCUUGAGGGUUAUCUUUACCACGCGCUAUAUCUAAGGAUAGUGAUCUAACCCACUUACCUAUCAAAGUCCAGAAACCCGUCGCAGUGACAGCGAGCAGUAGGCUAUUUCUUCUUAUUUUUAAAACACAUGUAUUCAAGAGGGCUGCUGCAUUGCUUUUACAGUUACAAAGAUAUCCAACUGAAAUGACGGACUUUCUCACUUUUCCCGCACUGCUCUGGAGUGUCCUGUUGCUAGUGCUCAGCGGCAUCAUCACACCCGCAUGCACAGAUGAUGGUCACCCAGGGCCAAGGGGUAUUCCUGGUAUACCGGUCUAGAUGGCUGUAACGGGACCAGAGGGGACUCUGGUUUCCCUGGAAUCCAUGUUCUGGAUGGGCCUGAUGGGGGAGCGGGUUUCUCAGGGAUCAAAGGAGUGCCAGGGGACCCCACCGUUCAGUUCAUCCAGUACCCUGGUAUACCUGUUGAUGUCGGCCGUGCUGGGGUUACUGGACUGCCUGUGAGCAAGAUGGUUGUUGGACGGUUGUUGGAUGGGUUCCCUACAGCCUGUCAAAUCACAACAUACACUACUUCAAAAUGACCCCCUUACCAGCAUGUGCCUGCCUCUGCUGCUGUGACACAUUCAAUGUGUCGACAUAGUUACUACUGCAUUACUAUUGCCUGGUCACCAGAUCUGUAUGCGAUUUAGCCAUCUUCACUAACUGUCCUUGUCAUGCCAACAAUGUACGUAAGAAGAGCAGCCAGGUUUACAUAUAACCAGUGCUUAAAACGUUCAUAAGAAUCCGCCUCUUUUUUUAAAUGUAAAUAGUCCUUUCAGUAUUACCACAAUAUUCCCAUACAUCUUAUUACCUGUCCUGUCUGGCUGUAGCAGGCUGUGUAGUAAAAUUAAAUGUAUUUGGCCCCAUUACACAAAACAUUUUUGGCAACAUUUUGUCCUGAUCAAUGCCGUUUGCAAGAACAAAAUAUUCAAACCGUUCUGUAUGAGCUCCAUUGCUCAACACUUUCAUCAAACUGUCCAAUAUUUCUAACAAUUCCAGACAUUUUUUGUUUGUCAUUUGGCUCCUGUUUGUUACUCAACUCAUACUUGUCCUCAACCAUGGCAAUGUUCUGUUCAGCCGUAAUAAUAUUUUCUGCAGUCUUCAACUUCACUCACUGAUGUUUUAUCCUGAAAUUCACUGAUUUAGCAGCUUUUAAUUCAAAAGCACAACCAGGAUUCCCUAGAGCACAAUGGGACAAACCCUCCAAUAACCAUACACUGGGCCACACUGAGCCAAUUGUGCACCGCCCCAUGGGUCUCCCGGUUGUGGCCGGCUGCAUCAGACUUGAACCAGGCUCUCUAGUGGCACAGCUAGCACUGUGAUACAGUGCCUUAGACCACUGCGCCACUAAGGAUGCUGGAAAAAAGCAGUUUUAAACUUUUUCCAAACAGAAAAGUUAACGUAGGUUCAGACUUACUCGUUAUCUGUUAUUAUGUCUCGCGGGUUUCAUAACCACGUCUUUAUAACAAUUCAAUAAUGAUCAGACGGGAGACAGGAAUCAGUUCAACCAUUUAUCUACAAUGUGCUCGGUCUCAACACAUACAACCCCCAUGAUGCGCUGCGGCACAAACCCAAUGAACAACACUGGCAGAAAAAUGUCUUGUUAUAAGAACAAUGUGUGCUAUAAGGAGGCAACUAUUUAUGUAUUACUCAGUUGACUAAAUAAUUGCCUCCUUAUAACAGAAAUGAAAUCAUUGCCAGAUUAUUGUGAAGUUUACAGUAGUUUCUGCACAGAUAUUUGCUAUUUUAUCAUGGACCAGGCUAUACAUUGAUGUUACUACUGUGGGCAUGAACCUCUUUAGUCAGAAACUCUUAGGUGCAUCCAAAUGGCUUGAUAUGGUAGCACCUACACAGAGCUCUGUUCCAGACAGACAUACAGACAGAGAGAGAGCUCAGGUCUUGGUCAGUCCCACAUCCCACAGGCCAUAGCCCCUGUUGUUUUAGUCUUCCUAUUCAGCCCUUUGUGCUGCUACUCUGUUGUUUCAGAGUGCCCCCUCUUCAGACCAAAGCCCCCAGAGCUCCACCAUUGUCACUCCCCGGGGGCUUUAGAUGGGCAGCUCGUAUCCCGACCCGUUUGUCUUCCGAGUGGUUUCACACCAUGAGCAAAAUGAGAGAGAGCCACAGGCAUGCUGAGCCGCCAGGAAGUCACCCAUCGGUGGGGGAUGGUGGAGUGAAGCGGGGGGAAAAUGGGUGGUCAGAGGGUGCUGUUCCCGGCACUGCAGACAAUCCGUUGCAUGGGGACCCCCACCAACCCCUUCACCCCCGACAUUAGUCCCCAGGGAUUAUGGUGGUAUUGGCUUAAAUCACGGUCACACACACAAGAGAGGUGCUCAGGAACUCUGGGACAAAACUGUUGUGGUAUGUGGCCUCUUCUCAGCUCAUUCUCGUUUCUACUUAGUUGGGUACUCCUUAAGCAUGCAUGAGGCCUAACACAGGUAGCAUAGCGGUUAGAGAAGUAGGGUUGCUGGUUUAAAUCUGAUGAUGUGUGACCUUGCAACUGGAGAGUUGCUUGCAUCAUGCUAGACAUCCUUGCUUGCUGUUGUUUCCUUGUGCAAGGCACUUAACCCCCUACAAUUGCUCUGGUGGCAGUGAACUGCAGCUGACCCACUGCUUCCAACCCCUCAGGGUAUAUUUGUGUGUGUGUCUUUGUGGGCUUGGGUUGUGAACAUAAAAUACAAAUGUCCAUUCUCUGUAAGUUAAUAGACUAUCAAGUUUUCUUCUAACCCAGUGGGUGUAAAGGACUGCUUGGUGAGUACCACUUCCUCCCGUUUCGGCACAUACCUGGCUCAAACCCUGGACCUCUGCUUCACAAACAUACCUGACCGUCCUGCCUCAAGCAUCUCUACCAGUCACACUUCUCAAAAGCUAGCAAUUGAAUGGUGCAAACGUGGAUACUUAAGGCUGAGGAGUAAGUUUCACUCAUCUCCAUGUGCCACAUAUCUGGGCAAACUGAAAUGAUGCCAUCAUUUCAACCAGUUUUGCCCGCUGGGAAUCACCCUCUGAGAACAGAGUCUUGUUGCCGAUCACUGCUUUACUGACCUGGGGUGAGUUUCCCAAAAACCUUGUAGCGAUUGUGAUCAUCGCUAUUUCUCUGGACGACCCAUACCAGUUCCACUAGCAGAAUAGCAACAUUUGAUGAAUUGUGUUCAUCGCAGAAGAUUUACAAUCAAAUAUCCUUUUUAUAGUUAUCCCUCUCUCACUGCUGUGUGGGUGGUUUGUCAAGAGAAACAAUGUUAUGAGUUCACUACAACGCUUCUGGGAAACUCACUCCUGCUUCUACCCUUUGAUCAUAAUGUAACACAUUCGGGGGGGUUGCCCCAACAGGGACUCAAACCCGAGUCCAGCAACUAUCAACCUUAGCUGUUCCGAAUCUCUUGACGAGGUCACUAGGUGUUGGAUUAAGGUUGCUACAAUAACAACAGCACAUUGUCACAUCAGAAAAGGCCAGUGGGCCUGUCUUUCAUCCUGCUCUCUCAGUAGGGAAGAAGGCAGUGAUUUAACAGAAGAAGAAGAAUUGACGUUUUGAAACUCUAGAGUCAGGGAACCAUGCGCUCACACUACAGCUAGUCUUAAGUGUGACAGUGAGUAGCUGUAAUGUUUGAUUAGCUCAGAUAAGCAUUAGUGGACAGCACCGGGAGAUAUAGGACUGUUCGAUCACUCUCACAGAUGAAUAGAGCCAUAGAAAUUCAAUGACUAGAUUAUAUGUCUAUGCAUAGAGCUCCCCGAUGAGACUACAUAGACCCAAGCUCUGUGUGUGGACCAAAGGGCUGUCUACUGCCACCAUGAGGGGGACAGGGCCAUCCCAGAUCAGGCAUGCCCUGCGGAGACAGAGACAAAGCAAGGUGUUGUAGUGAAUAUUUUCUAUUCAUCGAGGCUCACGACUUGGACCUGGUUCAAGUAUGCAAGCUUGCCACCGUGAAUGCUUCGAUGCCGCCUGAUUAGAAUUAAAUAGGGUCAGGUUCAGGUAUGUGAGAGACAAGAACAGGACAUGAGAAAAAUGUUAGCCAGAACCAGUAUGUGCUUGCAGAGGUGAGAGGUUGAAAGUGGGUGAGAGAAUAGGGAGAGGUGAAGGAAGGGGUGAGAGAGGUUGAUGGGUAACAUAGUAAGCACUGAGGUUGAGGAAGUUGACUCUUACAGAGGUGAGGCGGGGGUGGGGAGAGAUCUGGAGAUGUGUCUGAAAACGACAGACCAGCCGUCACCAGCAUGCUGGCUUGCCCAUCUGUGAACACUGACAUGCAGCGUAUCUCCUUGUUUUGAAUCCGUUGCAUUUUCUACAGUCUUUGAUGUUCCGCCACCAUGGGUUUGAAAAGUGUUUUCUGUUCUCUGGUAUUCUUGGAGAAUACCGUGUUUUCUAAUCUUGUCCAUCUCUUGAGAGUGCCACAGUCCCCCUCAGGAGACUGAAAAGAUUUGGCAUGGGUCCUCAGAUCCUCAAAAGGUUCUAUAGCUGCACCAUUGAGAGCAUCCUUACUGGUUGCAUCAUUGCCUGGUAUGGCAACUGCACAGCCACCGACCGCAAGGCACUACAGAGGGUAAUGGAUGGCUGCUAGCGUUGGCCGGCUCGUGUGUGGGUGUGUUUGUGUAAAGGUUUGUGUGGUCAGAUUACUGAGCCUGUUAGGCAAAACACUGAUUCACUUAUUGUGAUUUUUUUAGACAGGAGGGAAUUAAUAAAACAGGUGGUCAGGAAAUGUGUCCACAGUGACUCCACAUUAUUCUUAUCUGUAGACUACUGAGUGACGGUGUUAAAGCCUACGUCCUAAAUGGCACCCUAUUCCCUAUAUAGUGCACUAAUUUUGACCUGGAAACAUAGACCAAGGCCCGUAACAAUAUGUUAUUUGAUUAUGACUAUGAUGUUAUUAAGUGUCCAUGACCACUCACGGUCCUUUUGUACUCUUUUCACUGGUAACUAGUGUUCAUCUUUGUGACAGAACAGAGUCAUUUAGGUCUUCAAGCUGUCUUUGUCUCUAUUAAUCUGUGCAUCCUUCAUUCUCUCUCUCUCUCUCUCUCUCUCUCUCUCUCUCUCUCUCUCUCUCUCUCUCUCUCUCUUUCUUUCUCUCUCUCUCUUUCUUUCUCUCUCUCUCUUUCUUUCUCUCUCUCUCUCUGGCCCCUCUCCUUUUCCACUUUGCUGUUCUUUCUUUCAUUACAGAUUUUUUUUUUUCUUCCUGUCACCUCAUGUUGCUUAAAUCUCCGCUGUCUUUCCUCCUCUCUUUCCCCUCUCCUCCUUCUCUCCCUCUCUCUCCUGCAUGCCCCAGGUGUGUGCAGGUCUCUGUCUGAUGAUGUGUUAUCAGGGGACUGUGGAGCCGUCACACAGGGCCCAAGAUCCUGCCAGGGCGAUAACAACAUUAAAUUCACACACGGUCAGAUGCACACGCACGCACACACCUCCCUACUUGCACUGUUUUUUGACACCAAGCCUCAUUUCUAUCAUUCAGCUCUGCUAUUAUCAUAUUAUUUACGUGAUUAGUAUAAAAAUGUAAAACCUCUCCACUGUACAUUAUUUUGUUGAUCUAGUUUUUAAGUAUGCCAAGUGUUUAUGUCUGGAUGUGUUUAUGUGUGUGUGUGUGUGUGUGUGUGUGUGUGUGUGUGUGUGUGUGUGUGUGUGUGGGAGAAAGAGACUUUGUGUGUGUACAAAAUAUAGGACCCUAUCUGUCUCAUUGUCUCCCUCCCAGUGGAAGACUUACCAUUAGGCAGAAGAGGCAAUUGCCUCUGGCCUCACAUCAUCAAGUGGCCUUAUGAUGCUUAAUAAAACACAUACAGUGGGGCAAAAAAGUAU